ensembl:lncRNA
CGUGUGAGCUGGGAGCAAGCAGCUCUGUUGUUGUCCUCAGGGAAAACCAGGCACCUUUGGGGCAUCUCGUCUUGGCUGCUUUUCAGCGCUGCGUGACAGUGGGUUGAAUGGAGCCGGAGGUGUUUCUAAUAGAGCUGUCUGAAGUCAGCCAAAAUACAGCUGGCGUGCUCUGCACCGGCACAGCAAGGCUCGCUCAGAAGCUGCCUUUCCUUUUGUUUCGGUGUUUGGGUUCCAGGCAUGUUGUGAAGUGAUGCUGGAGGCUUUGCCUUGGCUGUUGGCUGGGCAGCCUGGUGGUCCAGGAGCGCGGUUUUGCUCCGGGCUGCAAAGUGCCUGCUUGCUGAAGCUUCUGGAAACAAAGAGCUGAGGAGCUCACAGACCUGUCCAGGCAAAACACCUCCUCUGUUUGCUCUAAUAAUACUGUUUUUCUCAAUUCUACACCCCCAAAACAAUGUGUCUGGGCCUGUUUUAAUCCACUGGAUCACUCGGAGGCUACAGCUGAGGUCUGGUAUCCGGAUGUUUCCCAAACCUGAUCCUGCCCGUGUCCCAUCCUGCGGGCUGCUGGAAGAGGAAUUUGCAGGCUCAGUGAAACUGCUCAGGUCUCCCCGCUGAGGCUGACUAUGUGUUCACCCUCCAGACUGCUUGGGAACGAAGGCAAAGAGAAGAACAUUGUCCCGCAAAGCCACGUGCCUCGCUUGCAGUCUGGGAGCUGAGGCACAGCUUCUGACUUUGCUCUGCAGCCCCUGUGUCCCAACCACUACCCAGGACACUGAUCAACCUGAAGCUGCUGGUUUUCUUGUGAUGGGCUCCUGUAUGCGUUCCAAAUACUGUUGAGGCUGCUCUGUGGGUAUUUUUAGUGUGCAUCAGGUGCCAACGAGGAAAACAAAAGCCUCUUCUUCAUGAGCCCACGUCUGCAGUUAUUUCCAGUGCCCGUGUCCUCGUGUGCAUCCUGCAGCCCUUGGGGCUCCGACAGCAGGCACUGAGAAAAACCAAGCUUGGGAAAAAUCUAAAUACUUCCCAAGGAAGAACUUCAGGAAAUGCCCAUCAAACAGCUGAGCAGGGGAUUCCUGAGCAGGUUUCCUGUGCUUCUUUGAAAUGCUGAUAAAAAGCUUCGUGAGAUACCUGCACAGAGGAAUUUCCCAAACAGGGCACUGAAAGCUUCACACCACAAUGUAUGCGUGAUACUGGAGCUCCCACACGUGCUGGGUGUUUGGAUAGCGUUCUUAGACCUGCUGAAACCUGCGUAAUGUAGUAAUUAUGGGCUGCUAGCUGUUGAAAGGACUCGUGAAGCUACUCCAAGGGGCAGCUGUCACCUGGGUCCUUCGGAUCCCAGCUCAUGUUUGCCUCUGCACGUCCUCAGCAUGCAAACAGGGCUGAGGGAAAGCACCCUGCCUCCUCCUGUCCCUGGGUGCAGGAAUGGCAAUGGCCGGCAGCACUGACAUCUGCCUCCUGGUGUGACCCCAAGGAUGUGACUUUGGGACAGAAACAACAUGCAGCCAGGCACCCCUGAAAUGAAGCAGGGUUAUGGGAUCCAGCUCUGGCAUUAGUGUGCAGUCCUGAACAUCUGCACCAACAUUUGUGUGCCCAGCCAUCAUUGCAGCACCUGUAGCCAUCUGAGCUGGCGCUGGCUGCAGCAUGAAGCCAGCAAUUUACAAAGUCCUGCUUUUGGGUCCUUCCUUCCCCACAUCUCUGCUGGGAACUGCUGGUGCCCCCAUCCCACCACGGGAGCCCUGGGCUGGGAACACAGCAGUGCCUGCUGCUGGGGAGGUAACACUGCGAACCAGCCUGCGCAUCUUGCAGCCUCUACAAUAUUGCCAAACCUUGUAACACAGAACCAGAUCCCUUUCCAAACCAGCCCCUUGCAGCCCUUCCUUCCUCUCCAAACUGCACCAAUCUCCAGCCAGAGCGAGCCUUGGGUCUGCCCUGCUUCACCCACCUCGUCGCUUCUGUCCCUGCCUCGCAUCUCCCCGCAGCGGUGUUCGGACGCCUCGCCUCUCUCCCGCUGGCUGAGAGCAGCGUGGAUUUCCUUCCAGCGUGACGGUUGGGGUCACUCUUUCACAACGAGCGCUUUCCUCCCGGUACGAUCAGCUCAGCGUCGCGUCCCGCUGACGCCCAACCAGGAUUUCAAGCUUUUGGGACUGCCUUCCCUGGAAAAAAUUAGCGACAUGUUUGAUUUUAAAUAGCGGAAGCGUGCGGGAAUAAGCUUUUCUGUGUGGGUUCGGAAGUUUGCUAAAACACUCAAUGAGCUGC